AUAAUUAUAAAAAUAGUUUUCUUAAAAAAAUAAUUAUAAAAAUAGACCUUUAAAUGCGAUGAAUGAUUCACCGCAUUCAUAACUUCUAUUUAGCAGUAGAAAAAUAAUAAAAGCGGUGAACCAUUCACCGCUUUUACCAUCGUAGAAUUAUAAUAAAAAGAAAGAAAAAGAAAGAAAGCGGUGAAUGAUUCACCGCUUUUAUAAGACUAUAUCUACAAAUAAAAUUUCAACAAGUUUAUUUUUAAAAUAAAAUUUUAGAAGAGAAUUAUUGAACUAAAAACCCCUCCAAAAAGUAUAAUAAACAAAUAUUUUGUUUACUUCCAUAUAUAAUACCAUGCCAUGCAAACAGUAUUGAUUGUAUUAAAAUAUAGAAAUAAUUACCUAUAUACCUCUCAAAACUUCGAAAAAAUCUUAUUUACUCCUUUUUUUUUUUCCAAUAUAUUCCUCAUAUGUUCCUCCCUUAAUCCAAAAUACUCCUACAAUUAUCACUGUUAAGUUAACUUGGGUUAAACGUGAGUUAAUUUAAACGUGAGUUAAAUAUCUAUCACAAUUAAAAAAAAAUUGAAAUGCCACUUUUACCCUGAACUUAAGGACAAAUAAAAAAUGUUGGUGAUAAUAGGAGAAUAUAAUUGAAAAGACCAAAAAAUUAAAAUACUUUUUGUACCCCUAACUUAAGGACAAAUAAAAAAAGUCGGUGAUGAUAGAAGGAUAUAUUUGAAAGGGUAAAAUAGUAAUUUUAUAAAGAUAACAUAGUUUAUUAAUAGAUUUUAACUCUAGGAAUAUAUUUGAGACCGAUUGAAACGUAAAAGGAGUAUUUUCAAUAUUAGUCUUCUAAGAGGGAUAAAUCAAAAAAUCGAAAACUUUUCAGGAUAUAUAAGCAAUUGCCCCUAAAAUAUAACUUUGGGGGUCUCAUAAAAAAUAAUAAAAAUAAUAAU
rnacentral:lncRNA from 1 species